AACCUGGUUGAUCCUGCCAGUAGUCAUACGCUCGUCUCAAAGAUUAAGCCAUGCAUGUCUAAGUAAAAAUGACUCUUUACUGUGAAACUGCGAACGGCUCAUUAUAUCAGUUAUAGUUUACUUGAUAGUACCUUACUACUUGGAUACCCGUAGUAAUUCUAGAGCUAAUACAUGCAUCAACUCCCAACUCACGACGGGACGCGUUUAUUAGAUCGAAACCCACAUUUUUGGUGAAUCAUAAUAACUGUGCGAAUCGCAUGGCCUUGCGCCGGCGAUGAAUCAAUCAAGUUUCUGCCCUAUCAGCUUUCGAUGGUAGGGUAUUGGCCUACCAUGGCGGUAACGGGUAACGGAGAAUUAGGGUUCGAUUCCGGAGAGGGAGCCUGAGAAACGGCUACCACAUCCAAGGAAGGCAGCAGGCGCGUAAAUUGCCCAAUCCUGACACAGGGAGGUAGUGACAAUAAAUAACAAUGCCGGGCUUUUUCAAGUCUGGCAAUUGGAAUGAGAACAAUUUAAAUCCCUUAACGAGGAUCAAUUGGAGGGCAAGUCUGGUGCCAGCAGCCGCGGUAAUUCCAGCUCCAAUAGC
rnacentral:rRNA from 1 species